rnacentral:tRNA from 1 species
GGGGCCUAUAGCUCAGCUGGGAGAGCGCCUGCUUUGCACGCAGGAGGUCGGUGGUUCGAGUCCACUUAGUCUCCACCA